CUUUGACUUAUAAGUUUGAUUUGUUACAUGACCACGCUUGUAACCCAAACUUUCUUAACUAACCAAAAUACCCCACUGUGGUAUGUUACUUGAUAAAAAAACAUUCACUAUACCAGAAGUAAUGCAAUUUCCGGCCUAUAAACAGCGACUUUUUUUCACACGCUUUCAACCCUGCGGUUUAUGCGAUAAUUUGUGUAUUUUUUUUUAUGCGGUAAUUUGUGCAUUUUUUUUCUAACGGCUGCAAGGGGACACUUGAGCGGAAAAGGCAGUACACAACACACGGCUAAAUGCGGACGUCCAUCCAUCCAUCCAUCCGUUUUACUCAGCGCUUAUCCGCGGGGCGCUGGAGCCUAUCCCAGUUGACUCCGGGUGAAAAGUGGACUCCACCCCGAACUGGUGAACAAUCAGUCACACAGGACAUAUAAACACAGACCACCAUUUGCACUCACAUUCGCACAGUCCGUGAGAGGGAAUUGAACCCACGCUGCCAGCACCAAAAUCAGACAGGUCCAUCACUACAGAUGAGAGGAGCAGAGUGGAGAAGUGGGGCAUGUUGGCACUAGCAGGAGCAGGAGGAGCAGGAUGAGGAAUGAGGAGGAGGAGGAGGAGGAGGCGUGCCGCGUGAGCGCCCUCCCGCGAGCAGCAAACGUGACACAAAAG